UACGUAGGGUGCAAGCGUUGUCCGGAAUUAUUGGGCGUAAAGAGCUCGUAGGCGGUUCGUCGCGUCUGCUGUGAAAACCCGAGGCUCAACCUCGGGCCUGCAGUCGAUACGGGCGGACUGGAGUUCGGCAGGGGAGACUGGAAUUCCUGGUGUAGCGGUGAAAUGCGCAGAUAUCAGGAGGAACACCGGUGGCGAAGGCGGGUCUCUGGGCCGAUACUGACGCUGAGGAGCGAAAGCGUGGGGAGCGAACAGG
rnacentral:rRNA from 1 species